rnacentral:rRNA from 1 species
CACCGCGGUUAUACGAGUAACUCACAUUAAUAUUUCACGGCGUAAAGGGUGAUUAAAAGUUUCUAAAAAGUACUAGAGUUAUGACCUUAUAAAGCUGUCAUACGCACCUAUAAAAGAAGUAAUACACUGACGAAAGUAACUUUAACUAACUAGAGCUUUUGACCUCACGACAGUUAAGACACAAACUAGGAUUAGAUACCCCACU